rnacentral:lncRNA from 1 species
CUUGGGACCUUGCACUUGUGAGGCAAGCAAUGGAAUCACUGAGCUGAACCCCACGCUCCAGUUUUCUUUUUAUGCCAUUGGCAACAAUCCUCAGUUGUGUCGCUGCAGAGCGUGGAGAGAGGGGGAUCGCUGCGAGUUUGAGGCCAGCCAGGACUAGGUAGCAAGACUCUAUCUCGAUAAAAAGAAAAGAAAAACAACAACAACAACAACAAAAAAAAAAAACAGUUGUGCCACCAUGAAAGAAAACCAA